rnacentral:rRNA from 1 species
UACAGAGGGGGCAAGCGUUAUUCGGAUUUACUGGGUUUAAAGGGUGCGUAGGUGGGUAGGUAAGUCAGUGGUGAAAUCUUCGAGCUUAACUCGGAAACUGCCAUUGAUACUAUUUAUCUUGAAUACUUUGGAGGUAAGCGGAAUAUGUCAUGUAGCGGUGAAAUGCUUAGAUAUGACAUAGAACACCAAUUGCGAAGGCAGCUUACUACACAGUUAUUGACACUGAGGCACGAAAGCGUGGGGAUCAAACAGG